GAUGAACGCUGGCGGCGUGCCUAAUACAUGCAAGUCGAGCGAACGGACGAGAAGCUUGCUUCUCUGAUGUUAGCGGCGGACGGGUGAGUAACACGUGGAUAACCUACCUAUAAGACUGGGAUAACUUCGGGAAACCGGAGCUAAUACCGGAUGAUAUUUUGAACCGCAUGGUUCAAAAGUGAAAGACGGUCUUGCUGUCACUUAUAGAUGGAUCCGCGCUGCAUUAGCUAGUUGGUAAGGUAACGGCUUACCAAGGCACCGAUGCAUAGCCGACCUGAGAGGGUGAUCGGCCACACUGGAACUGAGACACGGUCCAGACUCCUACGGGAGGCAGCAGUAGGGAAUCUUCCGCAAUGGGCGAAAGCCUGACGGAGCAACGCCGCGUGAGUGAUGAAGGUCUUCGGAUCGUAAAACUCUGUUAUUAGGGAAGAACAUAUGUGUAAGUAACUGUGCACAUCUUGACGGUACCGAAUCAGAAAGCCACGGCUAACUACGU
rnacentral:rRNA from 1 species